rnacentral:rRNA from 1 species
AGGACGAACGCUGGCGGCGUGCCUAACACAUGCAAGUGGAGCGACGAACCAGGCUUCGGCCUGGGGCAAAGCCGCGAACGGGUGAGUAACACGUGGGUAACCUGCCCUGAUGAUUGGGACAACCCGAGGAAACUCGGGCUAAUACCGAAUGUGCCCUCCGGCCUCAAGGCCGCUGGGGAAAGGAAGCUUCGGCCUCCGCAUCGGGAUGGGCCCGCGGCCCAUUAGCUUGUUGGUGAGGUAACGGCUCACCAAGGCGACGAUGGGUAGCUGGUCUGAGAGGACGAUCAGCCACACUGGGACUGAGACACGGCCCAGACUCCUACGGGAGGCAGCAGUGGGGAAUCUUGCGCAAUGCGCGAAAGCCUGACGCGGCGACGCCGCGUGGGGGAUGAAGGCCUUCGGGUUGUAACCCCUUUCAGCAGGGACGAAGCGAAGUGACGGUACCUGCAGAAGAGCGCCGGCUAACUACGUGCCAGCAGCCGAC